rnacentral:rRNA from 1 species
GCAAGUCGAACGAAGAACGAUGGGAGCUUGCUCCUAUCAAUCUUAGUGGCGAACGGGUGAGUAACGCGUAAUCAACUGCCUUCAAUGGGGGACAACAGUUGGAAACGACUGCUAAUACCGCAUACGAUCGUAAUUCGGCAUCGAGAUACGAUGAAAGGUGGCCUCUAUUUAUAAGCUAUCGUUGAAGGAGGGGAUUGCGUCUGAUUAGCUAGUUGGAAGGGUAACGGCCCACCAAGGCAAUGAUCAGUAGCCGGUCUGAGAGGAUGAACGGCCACAUUGGGACUGAGACACGGCCCAAACUCCUACGGGAGGCAGCAGUGGGGAAUCUUCCGCAAUGGACGAAAGUCUGACGGAGCAACGCCGCGUGAGUGAUGAAGGUCUUCGGAUUGUAAAGCUCUGUUAAUCGGGACGAAAGAGCCUAGUGUGAAUAAUGCUAGGAAGUGACGGUACCGGAAUAGAAAGCCACGGCUAACUACGUGCCAGCAGCCGCGGUAAUACGUAGGUGGCAAGCGUUGUCCGGAAUUAUUGGGCGUAAAGCGCGCGCAGGCGGAUCUGCCAGUCUGUCUUAAAAGUUCGGGGCUUAACCCCGUGAUGGGAUGGAAACUACAGGUCUAGAGUAUCGGAGAGGAAAGUGGAAUUCCUAGUGUAGCGGUGAAAUGCGUAGAUAUUAGGAAGAACACCAGUGGCGAAGGCGACUUUCUGGACGAAAACUGACGCUGAGGCGCGAAAGCCAGGGGAGCGAACGGGAUUAGAUACCCCGGUAGUCCUGGCCGUAAACGAUGGGUACUAGGUGUAGGAGGUAUCGACCCCUUCUGUGCCGCAGUUAACGCAAUAAGUACCCCGCCUGGGGAGUACGACCGCA